GGAGGGUGCAAGCGUUAAUCGGAAUUACUGGGCGUAAAGCGUGCGUAGGCGGUUUAUUAAGUCAGAUGUGAAAGCCCCGGGCUUAACCUGGGAACUGCAUUUGUAACUGGUCAACUAGAGUAUGGUAGAGGAAAGUGGAAUUUCUGGUGUAGCGGUGAAAUGCGUAGAUAUCAGAAGGAACAUCAAUGGCGAAGGCAGCUUUCUGGACCAAUACUGACGCUGAGGUACGAAAGCGUGGGUAGCAAACAGGAUUAGAUACCCUGGUAGUCCACGCCGUAAACGAUGAUAACUAGCCGUUGGGGGGAUUUACCCCUUAGUGGCGAAGCUAACGCGUUAAGUUAUCCGCCUGGGGAGUACGGCCGCAAGGCUAAAACUCAAAGGAAUUGACGGGGACCCGCACAAGCGGUGGAGCAUGUGGUUUAAUUCGAUGCAACGCGAAGAACCUUACCUGGUCUUGACAUCCUGCGAACUUUCUAGAAAUAGAUUGGUGCCUUCGGGAACGCAGUGACAGGUGCUGCAUGGCUGUCGUCAGCUCGUGUCGUGAGAUGUUGGGUUAAGUCCCGUAACGAGCGCAACCCCUAUCCUUAUUUGCCAGCACAUUAUGGUGGGAACUAUAAGGAGACUGCCGGUGAUAAACCGGAGGAAGGCGGGGACGACGUCAAGUCAUCAUGGCCCUUACGACCAGGGCUACACACGUGCUACAAUGGGAAGGACAAAGAGCCGCGAAGCCGCGAGGUGUAGCUAAUCCCACAAAUCUUUUCGUAGUCCGGAUUGGAGUCUGCAACUCGACUCCAUGAAGUCGGAAUCGCUAGUAAUCGUAGAUCAGAAUGCUACGGUGAAUACGUUCCCGGGUCUU
rnacentral:rRNA from 1 species